GAUGAGCGCUGGCGGCGUGCCUAAUACAUGCAAGUCGAGCGAACAGACGAGGAGCUUGCUCCUCUGACGUUAGCGGCGGACGGGUGAGUAACACGUGGAUAACCUACCUAUAAGACUGGGAUAACUUCGGGAAACCGGAGCUAAUACCGGAUAAUAUAUUGAACCGCAUGGUUCAAUAGUGAAAGACGGUUUUGCUGUUACUUAUAGAUGGAUCCGCGCCGCAUUAGCUAGUUGGUAAGGUAACGGCUUACCAAGGCAACGAUGCGUAGCCGACCUGAGAGGGUGAUCGGCCACACUGGAACUGAGACACGGUCCAGACUCCUACGGGAGGCAGCAGUAGGGAAUCUUCCGCAAUGGGCGAAAGCCUGACGGAGCAACGCCGCGUGAGUGAUGAAGGUCUUCGGAUCGUAAAACUCUGUUAUUAGGGAAGAACAAAUGUGUAAGUAACUAUGCACGUCUUGACGGUACCUAAUCAGAAAGCCACGGCUAACUACGUG
rnacentral:rRNA from 1 species